AAGAAACUAACAAGGAUUCCCCUAGUAACUGCGAGUGAAGCGGGAAAAGCUCAAAUUUAAAAUCUGGCGGUCUUUGGCCGUCCGAGUUGUAAUCUAGAGAAGCGUCACCCGCGCUGGACCGUGUACAAGUCUCCUGGGAUGGAGCGUCAUAGAGGGUGAGAAUCCCGUCUCUGACACGGACUACCAGGGCUUUGUGGUGCGCUCUCAAAGAGUCGAGUUGUUUGGGAAUGCAGCUCUAAAUGGGUGGUAAAUUCCAUCUAAAGCUAAAUAUUGGCGAGAGACCGAUAGCGAACAAGUACCGUGAGGGAAAGAUGAAAAGAACUUUGGAAAGAGAGUUAAACAGUACGUGAAAUUGCUGAAAGGGAAACGCUUGAAGUCAGUCGCGUUGGCCGGGGAUCAGCCUCGCUCUUGCGUGGUGUAUUUCCUGGUUGACGGGUCAGCAUCAAUUUUGACCGCUGGAAAAAGAUUUAGGGAAUGUGGCAUCUUCGGAUGUGUUAUAGCCCUUUUUCAUAUACGGCGGUUGGGAUUGAGGAACUCAGCACGCCGCAAGGCCGGGUUUCGACCACGUUCGUGCUUAGGAUGCUGGCAUAAUGGCUUUAAUCGACCCGUCUUGAAACACGGACCAAGGAGUCUAACAUGCCUGCGAGUGUUUGGGUGGAAAACCCGAGCGCGUAAUGAAAGUGAAAGUUGAGAUCCCUGUCGCGGGGAGCAUCGACGCCCGGACCAGAACUUUUGGGACGGAUCUGCGGUAGAGCAUGUAUGUUGGGACCCGAAAGAUGGUGAACUAUGCCUGAAUAGGGUGAAGCCAGAGGAAACUCUGGUGGAGGCUCGUAGCGAUUCUGACGUGCAAAUCGAUCGUCAAAUUUGGGUAUAGGGGCGAAAGACUAAUCGAACCAUC
rnacentral:rRNA from 1 species